UUCGGCUCGGCGCCGGGCCGCCCCUGGCUCCAGCGCGGUUCGCUACCCCCGCUGAAGCCGCUGCGUGAACCGCAGACCUGGGCGCCGCCGCCGCGGGCCGGGCCGGCGAAGAAGCCCCUCCCGUCCACGGCCGAGCUGCGGGGACAUAUCUCACUUUCAUCAGCACUGUUGAAAGAAGAAGAAAUAAUGCCAGUGCUGUCUCCUGAAAUCAAAUUUGAGCCUUCUAGUGUCACCAGAAGUACCCUUGGUGGUUGUUUUCUUUUUGAGAGUAGUUGGAGGAAAGCAGUGUUAGAAACACAAAAGAUGCAGAAAGAAUACACCGCAGCGUUUGGUCUAGAAGAAUUCAAAGGAUGUGUCAAAAUGCCGUAUUUAUCAGGAUUGCAAAAUUGCCAAAAAAGCAUAAGUUCCACUCCACUAGAGUUUCAUAGAAAACUCCUGCGUGCUGAUACUGAGAUGCCUCCUGUCAGCCAUUCUCCUGAGAACAUGUCAAGUUGCCUGCAAGUAUUUUAUUCUCCUCUACAUAUUGCACAACAUCCUGUGAAAGGACAGUCUUGGCAAAGCAGGAAAGUACUCAUUUUUGUCUGUCUUGUAUACAAUCCCUUACCCUUAAAAAAAAAAAAUUUCUGUAUAUAUGGAUAUUUUAUUUUAUAUUCUGAUAAAAGUUUAAUGUGUUUUUAAGUUUCUUUAAUGGUAAAAUUUUUCAGUGAAUUGCAAGGUGAUGUAUUUUGGUAAUGUAAUUGAAAAUAGUCCUAGAGGUGAAGUGCAUUUAAAAGUUACACUUGACUCUUGUGCGUAUGAUAUGAUAAACUGCCACCAGCUGUCAUGCUAGCAGACCUGAAGCAAUGAUUUGUGCGUUUAGUUCCAUUAAAUUAAUAUUAUGAAACUGACACAAUAUCACCUCUCAACUCACCAGUGUUAUCUUUAAAAGUUCCAUGCAGCCAAGCACAAGAUAUUUGUUCUGAUACUGGAUACUUUUUUUUUUAAUGGAUGUUCUAUGUUUUUUGAGGACGUGGCGCUAGUGGUAAAGAACCCGUCUGCCAAGGCAGGAGAUGUAGGAGAUGCAGGUUCGAUCCCUAGGUCAGGAAGAUCCGCUGGAGAAGGGCAUGGCAACCCACUCCAUGCCUACAGUAUUCUUGCCUGGAGAAUCCCAUGGACAGAGAAGCCUGGUAGGCUAUAUAGUCCAUAGGGUCGCAAAGAGUUGGACACAACUUAAGCGAAUUAGCACACGCAUGCACAAAGCCCUUCACACUAAAAAGGUUAAUCAUAGAAUUUCAAUUAUCUCUCAGUAGGUGCAAGAGAAUCUGAGGAGUAUUCUUGCUGCUGCUGCUGCUGCUGCUAGGGACCACUAAAAGCUUAUUACAUAACAAUCAGAAAGGCUGGUCUUGAGUGCCAACCUCAGUGUAAAUACUAGGUAUUCUUAUCUCAACUGUACCCAUAUUUGAUGUCUAGGAGGGGUGAUGUUGCCAUGGUAAUAAGUUGCUAGGAUACCUCCAAGCAGUCAUGUAAGCUGACUUUGUUUAGUGUAUUACAUGGAUUAAGAAUGAAUAUAUGUUUUUAUUGGAUAGAGGGAAAAAUUAUAGCUGAUUUGUAAGUUUAGUGUACUUACAAGAAAUUUAGAAUGCUUAUGGGUUAUCUUACCUAGAGCCAAUUUGAUCAUGAUGUAUUUCCUCUAAUAACUUACUCAUUAUUUAGGUUUAUUCCAGUAGGAACAGAAAUUGAUUAUGACAAAAUUCCGAUUGUGGUCAUUAAUAGGUAAAAAGAGCACAAAUAACUGAUAGUUGGUAUCUGGCUUAAAAAGAGUGAAAAGGCUGUCUUAAAACUCAACAUUCAAAAAGCAUGGCAUCCAGUCCCAUCACUUCAUGGCAAAUAGAUGGAGAAACAAUGGAAACAGUGAGAAACUUUAUUUUCUUGGGCUCCAAAAUCACUGCAAAUGGUGACUGCAGCCAUGUAAAAAAAGAUGCUUGUUCCUUGGAAGAAAAGCUAUGACCAACCUAGACAGCAUAUUAAAAAGCAGAGACAUUACUUUGCUGACCAAGGUCUGUCUAGUCAAAGCUAUGGUUUUUCCAGUAGUCAUGUAUGGAUGUGAGUUGGACCAUGAAGUAAGCUGAGUGCAGAAGAAUUGAUGCUUUUGAACUAUGGUGAUGGAGAAGACUUUUGAGAGUCCCUUGGACUGCAAGGAAAUCAAACCAGUCCAUCCUAAAGGAAAUCAGUCCUGAAUAUUCAUUGGAAGGACUGAUGCUGAAGCUGAAGCUCCAGUCCUUUGACCACACAUGAAGAACUGACUCAUGGGAAAAGACCCUGAUGCUGGGAAAGAUUGAAGGCAGGAGGAGAAAGGGAUGACAGAGGAUGAGAUGGUUGGAUGGCAUCACCCAUUCCAUGGACGUGAGUUUGAGCAAGCUCCAGGAGUUGGUGAUGAACAGGGAAGCCUGACGUGCUGCAGUCCAUGGGGUCACAGAGUCGACUGAGCGACUGAACUAAACUGAACUGGUAUCUGGCAUAUCUAAAUAUUAUGCUAAUUAAUCUUAAGUCCCUUCCUCCAGCAUUCCCUGAAUCAUGAUUAGUGAUAAGUUCAGAUAAAGGUGGGAAAAGGAUGACAUAGCACUCACCCAUUGGUAAAAUUUAUUAGCAAAAACCAAGAUACUGAGCUGGUUCAUAUCUGCUUCUGAUGGGGUUAUUUGUGAUGGGAGGAGUUUCCUUCCUUUAAUGUUUAUUUAAUUUUUAUAUGAUGUCCUUCAAUAAGUGAAUUUCACUGAAAGCAAGCUUCUUGUCUCAAUGUAUUUUAAAAAAUUAACGUACCCUGGAUUUAUGAAGUGAAUUUAUAAUAAUAUAUAAUUUUAGGUUAAAGAAGACUAAGCCCACAUGUACUGUGACACCACUUCAGGAGAAAUCGAAAGGUUCUGGUUUCAGCGAUCCUCUCACUGGAGCACCAUCUCAGUACUUACAGAGACUUUCCAACAUGGCCAUUUUGGAGUAUGACAC